AACGAACGCUGGCGGCAGGCUUAACACAUGCAAGUCGAACGCCCCGCAAGGGGAGUGGCAGACGGGUGAGUAACGCGUGGGAAUCUACCUAGUUCUACGGAACAACACAGGGAAACUUGUGCCAAUACCGUAUACGCCCUACGGGGGAAAGAUUUAUCGGAAUUAGAUGAGCCCGCGUAAGAUUAGCUAGUUGGUGGGGUAAUGGCCUACCAAGGCGACGAUCCAUAGCUGGUCUGAGAGGAUGAUCAGCCACACUGGGACUGAGACACGGCCCAGACUCCUACGGGAGGCAGCAGUGGUGAAUAUUGGACAAUGGGCGCAAGCCUGAUCCAGCCAUGCCGCGUGAGUGAUGAAGGCCUUAGGGUUGUAAAGCUCUUUCAGUGGGGAAGAUAAUGACGGUACCCACAGAAGAAGCCCCGGCUAACUUCGUGCCAGCCGCCGCCGUAAGAC
rnacentral:rRNA from 1 species